rnacentral:rRNA from 1 species
AUGAACGCUAGCUACAGGCUUAACACAUGCAAGUCGAGGGGCAUCAGGAAGAAAGCUUGCUUUCUUUGCUGGCGACCGGCGCACGGGUGAGUAACACGUAUCCAACCUGCCCUUUACUCGGGGAUAGCCUUUCGAAAGAAAGAUUAAUACCCGAUAGCAUAAUGAUUCCGCAUGGUUUCAUUAUUAAAGGAUUCCGGUAAAGGAUGGGGAUGCGUUCCAUUAGGUUGUUGGUGAGGUAACGGCUCACCAAGCCUUCGAUGGAUAGGGGUUCUGAGAGGAAGGUCCCCCACAUUGGAACUGAGACACGGUCCAAACUCCUACGGGAGGCAGCAGUGAGGAAUAUUGGUCAAUGGGCGCUAGCCUGAACCAGCCAAGUAGCGUGAAGGAUGAAGGCUCUAUGGGUCGUAAACUUCUUUUAUAUAAGAAUAAAGUGCAGUAUGUAUACUGUUGUGUAUGUAUUAUAUGAAUAAGGAUCGGCUAACUCCGUGCCAGCAGCCGCGGUAAUACGGAGGAUCCGAGCGUUAUCCGGAUUUAUUGGGUUUAAAGGGAGCGUAGGUGGACUGGUAAGUCAGUUGUGAAAGUUUGCGGCUCAACCGUAAAAUUGCAGUUGAUACUGUCAGUCUUGAGUACAGUAGAGGUGGGCGGAAUUCGUGGUGUAGCGGUGAAAUGCUUAGAUAUCACGAAGAACUCCGAUUGCGAAGGCAGCUCACUGGACUGCAACUGACACUGAUGCUCGAAAGUGUGGGUAUCAAACAGGAUUAGAUACCCUGGUAGUCCACACAGUAAACGAUGAAUACUCGCUGUUUGCGAUAUACAGUAAGCGGCCAAGCGAAAGCAUUAAGUAUUCCACCUGGGGAGUACGCCGGCAACGGUGAAACUCAAAGGAAUUGACGGGGGCCCGCACAAGCGGAGGAACAUGUGGUUUAAUUCGAUGAUACGCGAGGAACCUUACCCGGGCUUAAAUUGCAGUGGAAUGAUGUGGAAACAUGUCAGUGAGCAAUCACCGCUGUGAAGGUGCUGCAUGGUUGUCGUCAGCUCGUGCCGUGAGGUGUCGGCUUAAGUGCCAUAACGAGCGCAACCCUUAUCUUCAGUUACUAACAGGUCAUGCUGAGGACUCUGGAGAGACUGCCGUCGUAAGAUGUGAGGAAGGUGGGGAUGACGUCAAAUCAGCACGGCCCUUACGUCCGGGGCUACACACGUGUUACAAUGGGGGGUACAGAAGGCAGCUAGCGGGUGACCGUAUGCUAAUCCCAAAAUCCUCUCUCAGUUCGGAUCGAAGUCUGCAACCCGACUUCGUGAAGCUGGAUUCGCUAGUAAUCGCGCAUCAGCCACGGCGCGGUGAAUACGUUCCCGGGCCUUGUACACACCGCCCGUCAAGCCAUGGGAGCCGGGGGUACCUGAAGUACGUAACCGCAAGGAUCGUCCUAGGGUAAAACUGGUGACUGGGGCU